UUAGUGAGCUUAGGUUUGAGUCCUGGUUCUACUGACUGUGUGAACUUGGGAAAAUUAUUAAGGAAAUUUGUCUCAAUUUUCUCACGUGAACCGUGAGGAGAACGCCCUUCCUACCUAUCACAUUGUUAAGCAUGAAGAGAUAACAGACGUAAACUGAGUGACAUAGUGAUGGGCUCAGGCUGGGACAAACAGAACUGAGCAGGAAACUUGUUCUUGGAGUUAUUUCCCCUAAGAAGAGCCUGCUGUUGAGAAUACAGAGUCGUGUUUGACAACGGAGUCAGCAAAAAGGAAGCGGAGGAAGAGAUGGGGGAGACAAUCUGGAUCCUGCUGGCAUCAUCAGACCCCUGUGUCCACCUGCACCUCUGGCUGCUUGGUUGUAUAAGCCAAUGCAUUCUGGGGUUUUUGUUUUGUUUUGUUUUUAAUUUAAGCCCGUUUGCUUCAGGUUUUCUUUUUUUUUUUUUUAAUUUUUUUUUAAUGUUUAUUUAUUUUUGAGACAGAGAGAGACAGAGCAUGAAUGGGGGAGGCUCAGAGAGAGGGAGACACAGAAUCCGGAGCAGGCUCCAGGCUCCGAGCUGUCAGCACAGAGCCCGAUGCGGGGCUCGAACUCACGGACCGCGGGAUCAUGACCUGAGCCGAAGUCAGACGCUUAACCGACUGAGCCACGCAGGCGCCCCUUCAGGUUUUCUUUCAAUUCAAACCAAGUGAUGCAACUGAUACAAGUUCUAUGAAAUGCAUUUAAAAAUAGAUUGAUUUUUGUCCUAUGCUCGUGGCCAGAGCAGUUCCCAAUUGCUACUUUCUUGUCCAACUAAUCAAUAAAUAUAUAAUAGGCCCUUGUUACAUGGUCAAAUGCCACAAAGUUUAAGAAAGUUCCUUGUGCUACAA